AGACACAUCCAGGUCCAUUUCUGAGGGUCAACAGUUCACCUCACCCAACUCUGAAGACUUUCAGUUAGGGUCUGAGGUUCAAAAACACCCUCUAGUUUAGUUCCAGAGACUGGCUCUAGUCCCCUGCAGUCUGGCCUUCUUCCAGUCCAGCCAUGAUUGCGUUUUAGGACUUCUGCUCUGGUGUGGUAGCAGGCGUGGCCAGACUCUCCGGCUUCACAAUCUGAUGACGUACUCUGCAUACGCCAGUCCGUUGACGCUGGGUCGACCUAUAACCGAGUGGUGUCCAGGGGGGGCGUGGGCCAUUUUCAUCGCACUAAACUGAAGAAACGACUUACCCAGCGUCACUCUGCAGAACAGCAUCUGCCUGAAAUGCAAACACACAGAAUGAUACAUGAAGACUGGAACUCCUUGUCGUCCAGUGCCAGGUCGAUCAGCACGGUUCCCUGGCUGGAGCAGUGGAACGUCAGAUAUGGGUUUGCACCUAUAAACAAAAAAAUGACACUGACAAUAAAUUUCUUAUCAAACAUUACAGGUAUAGCCAUAUAUAUAACACAGGAGUUUGAUGUAUAGAUGAACUAAAGUAAUCUGAAGACUAAAUAAGAGAACUUGGUAUUAUAAAGAACAUGCUUGAUUGUUUUAACAUUUCAGUGUUUAUUUGUCAACUACGUAUUUAUAUACAGUUAUUUCAAUACAGUAAAGCGUGUGUGUGUUCCUGACCUUGCUGGCCACCCAGCAGCCUCUCGAUGCCCUUGAUGAGUUUGUGUCUGUGGCCGUAAGCGUUGAUGCCGAUCUCUUUCAGCUCCUCGUGACCCAUAUCUGCCAGCACAUCCAGCGAAAUCUGCCCAGAAAUAACAAAUGAGUCAUGCCAGUCUUGCUUAGAGUUGUCUUCUGCCAAACAAUGUAUAUUACUAGGAAAAUAACAUUUUAUGCUCUUAAUGUCCAAUAAUUAUUUGAGCGAUACUUCUAAUUAUACUGAAUAUCUGUCAACUGAAUCAAAUGUCCUAAUUUAUUGAAAGGUAGAACUCUUGAAAGCUAAACAAAAACACAUUACAGUUUGAUGGUGACAACAGCAAGUCGUGCUAAAACUGAACAUUAAAAUGAAAUAACCAAAAAAAUCAUGAGGUCAAUGAUCUAAGACACUGCAGAGACAAUCGUUCUCACAAAUAUUCAUAAGAGGAAGACAGAAGCAUUAUUGGAAAAAAGGUCAACGAAUGAAUGGCAGUCAUUAUAUGCAAAAUGAUGAUGGUGAAGAUUGUGAGUUUUUUCAUGCUGGUGGCAGAGAUUACUCUGCUUUUUAAACAGUUACCUUUACGUACUUCCCUUUGUGUUGCUGUGAUCACCAUAGCUUAAAUACUCUUCUCCGAAUCAUAACACUUAACAGAAAUAAGCCAAACAGAAACUGAAAAUUUGUCUGGCACCAAAGUGAAUACCAGAACCCUGCCUUCAUUUCCUAAAUCACAGCAAAAAGAUGAAAACUUCAUCUUUUUUACUUCCUCAGAAGCCUGUAUAAUCUUUCUAACAGAGGAAAAACUGUUUGUCACACUCGAUUUGAAGUAUUCACAGAAAACAUCAGCCUGGUUCUCGCCACUGGCUGAUGCUUCAAGCUGCCAUCUUACCAUUUCAGAGCAGUCUGCCACCUGGAACAUCCAACUAAAUAACUUCUACCAAUUCCUUGCAUCUUGCAAAAUGACUGCCUUCUCCUUGCAAGUUUUAACUAACUAAAAUUGAAUAGAGGCCGAUCUCCAUAUGUUUUGCAAAAACUGUUCAAUCAAACGUUGUGUUGACGAAGGUUUACUACUAAUCGUCUUCUACAACAAAAAACAAAUCAGAAGAGGAGCUUGACAGAGGGAACAGAGGGAGGAUUCACACCGCAGAAAGUUGAUUAGAGUUGUAAAUCAUUACAGCUGAAAUAGGUUUGGUUUUCUGUCUUUUGACACAAUAUCGUAAUUUCAACAUAAUGAGUAAAAAGUGUUCUAGUGUAAAAAAAGUGUUUGUGUUCAAGUAAAUUAAAUUGGCCGAUAUGAAUUCCGUUAAACCUACAGUAAGUAUCUCUUUGUUAUGACUGAGUUAUUGUUAUUCUGAAAUAAAAAUAUACUUUUCCAUUAAAACCAAGUUGACUCUUACCUUAAUCACAAUCUUCAUCUGAAUAUCAAUGAUUGCUUGUUUCCCUUUAGGGGAACCAAGGAUACAUAUAACACAAAGAAACCCUGCGCACUGCUCUGCUUAGUCUUUGGCAUGUCUGCUUCUGUUUUUCUCUCUGUCUGAUUUUUCCUUUUUCUGUCAACCCAUCUGUCUCCUUGUUGCUGCCUAUGUCUAUUUCCUCCAUCUUUCUCCUUAAGCCUAUCUCUUUAUUUUUUCCCCUUGUUCUCUCACUCCGUCCAUCUGUAUCGCUCUUCUGUCUCCAUUGCUCUAUGACAUCACCACCUCUUUCUUUCUGACAGUGGAGCAGACAUAGUCUACAGCGAUGCUCCAACUCUGCAAGACUGUACUUAGGCCCAGUGGUGCUCUGAGCUAAACGCUAACACUACCAUCCACACAACAACAAUGCUAACAUGCUGAUGGCUGAUAGCUUUGCAAGUAUUUAGCCAUAAACCUAGCUAUAAUAAGCAAUAAAAAUGUUGGACAAAUUAAAAUGUUGAUGACCCAAGAUAAAAAGUUGAGGGAAGAGCAAAGUAAUUACAUCCUGAGGGGAACAUGGAUGUCUGAACCAAAUUUUAUGGCAAUCCAUCUGUUGUUGAGAUAAUUCAGUCUGGACCAAACAUUGCCCUCCCUUGAGCUUCACCGCUAGAAUGGUUAUGAACUGACAUGAGGAAUGUAAAAUGGAACAAAAACGAACAAAAGAACUGAUUAAAUAAAUGAGUUCAAACCAAGACUGAAUUAACCCUAUAAGAAACAAACUAGAAGCCUAAAGACAUUAGUAAAAGUUGGAUAUUUACAUUGAAGAAAUUCCCCUCAACAAUAUUUCACUUGUACUUUGAAGCUCUUUCCUGAUCUUUCCACCUUUCAUCCUCAUCUGUUAUACCUAUGUGCCUCUCCAGUUCUUUGCACCUUUUGCUGUUCCCGUUCACUUUUGCUUCACCAGACACAUAAAGAAAGGUUUGUGUACCUGUUCCCGCUGGAAGGUCUCUCGGAGAUGUUCCAGCCCUAGGCUCUUCAAAAACUGGUUGAUGGUCAUGUCGAGCAGAGCUGCAGAGACACAGAGAGACCCAGAUGCUCCGUCUGCUGGUCCAGUGGCCCCGCCCACAGUGAUGUCACUGAGGGGCGCGGUCAGGUUGUCUAUGCUGCUGGC